rnacentral:misc_RNA from 1 species
AUUUGGUCGACCCUCCUAAUAACUCACAUGAUCAGCCAGCAAGUGCAAGUCCCUCAAGAACACAUGUUGCGCAAUCAUUGAUGCAACACCAUCGAUCAGUUGAUAGAAACAGUCACGCACUACAGCCCUUAUCUUCUGCAAGUUGUGGUAGCUCAAUGGAGGUGGCGCCUUGUAACCCUAGGGGGUCUUCUACUAGUUCUUUGGAUUUUAAGGGCAGGAUGGGUGAGUCAAGUUAUAGCCUUAAGACAUCAACAGAAUUACUCAAGGUACUCAAUCGGAUUUGGAGUCUUGAAGAACAG